rnacentral:rRNA from 1 species
GACGAACGCUGGCGGCGUGCCUAAUACAUGCAAGUAGGACGCAGUUGCGAACGGGUGAGUAACGCGUAGGUAACUACCUAUUAGAGGGGGAUAACUAUUGGAAACGAUAGCUAAUACCGCAUACUAGUAGAUGGACCUGCGUUGUAUUAGCUAGUAGGUAGGGUAAAGGCCUACCUAGGCAACGAUACAUAGCCGACCUGGGAGGGGUGUCGGCCACACGUGGACUGGUGCACGGGCCAGACUCCUACGGUGGGCAGCAGUAGGGAAGUUUCGGCAAUGGGGGGAACCCUGACCGAGCAACGCCGCGGGAGUGAAGAAGGUGUGCGGAUCGUAAAGCUCUGUUGUUAAGGAAGCGGUACUUAAACAGAAAGGGACGGCUAACUACGUGCCAGCAGCCGCGGUAAUAG